GACUAAAAUAAUGUGUGUGUUUUUUUUUAGAUGUUGAAAUCCAGAGACAAGAUAACUUCAUUCUUUUGAGACUGAUAAAUCAAACCAACUUUGGAGUUGUCUUGUCUGAUUUGGAGAGUCAUUAUUCUUGGUCUUCGCUCUUAGAGGUAAAGUUCACACAAAAAAUCAUUUACUUGCCCUCAAGUCAUUCCAAACCUAUAAGACUUUUGUCUGUCUUUACAACAUAAAUAAAUAUAUUUUUAGUUUUCUCAUAAUAUUUGUUAAUCCAUUUAUAGUUUAGAUAAUCAGUAUUUUCAAGCUUCAUAAAUAUAGAGUUAUUGUAGAAGUAAAUUCUGAUAUUUAUAUAUGAAUACAUCUUAAAUUAUAUGAUAGCAAACAUGUAUGUUCAAAAUAAAAUACUGGUCUCCCAGACCAGCAAUGGAGGACACAAAAAGAGAAUAUUAAAUAUAUUCAUACGUUUUCCAAAAAAUUAGCAGAUUUUGUAUGAGUCUGGAAAAACAUGAGGAGAGUAAAUUAUAAACAUUUUAAUUAUUUGGUGAACUAACAGUUUGAAGAGCAGCCCUCCAUCUACAUGAAUAUUGUGAGGUAUGUGAAUGUCAUGUCUGUUUUAAUGUUUCAGUAAAGAAGCUGCCCUCACAGUAGUGGUGCCAUUAUAGCCUCCUGGAGCGCUGUGGUGGACUGAGACAUUAAACAACCGCACAAAGUGUUAAAACUUUAAAACCGAUUAUUUACCUAUCCUUACGGAUGUGAAUACACCUCUACCUGAAAAUGGAUAGUUUAAUUAAAUGUUUAAUUUUUUCAAAUGUGUUUCUCUUAGGCCACUGAUGAAGAGCAGGCAGUGACUGGAUGAAUGCUGGUCAGAGAGGAGAAUCUUCUUUCCCCUAAACUGAUGCAGCGGUGGUUUUAAAGGAGGACGCUGCCCUGGAUGAUGUAGAAGAUGUCAGAUGCUGUGCUGAUGGGGUUUCUUCAUGAUAACAUCAGUUAUGCUAAAGAGAUCAUGAAAAUUGACCGUGAUGCAUGAUCUGUAUUCAUGGACUAUGAAACAAACUGUAAGUGUAUAAUUUG
rnacentral:lncRNA from 1 species